AUGCACGCUGGCGGCGUGCUUAACCCAUGCCAGUCGAGCGGUGAAGGCGGAGCUUGCUCUGCUGGAUCAGUGGCGAACGGGUGAGUAACACGUGAGCAAUCUGCCCCUGACUCUGGGAUAAGCGCUGGAAACGGCGUCUAAUACUGGAUACGAGCUGCGAAGGCAUCUUCAGCAGCUGGAAAGAAUUUCGGUCAGGGAUGAGCUCGCGGCCUAUCAGCUUGUUGGUGAGGUAAUGGCUCACCAAGGCGUCGACGGGUAGCCGGCCUGAGAGGGUGACCGGCCACACUGGGACUGAGACACGGCCCAGACUCCUACGGGAGGCAGCAGUGGGGAAUAUUGCACAAUGGGCGAAAGCCUGAUGCAGCAACGCCGCGUGAGGGACGACGGCCUUCGGGUUGUAAACCUCUUUUAGCAGGGAAGAAGCGAAAGUGACGGUACCUGCAGAAAAAGCGCCGGCUAACUACGUG
rnacentral:rRNA from 1 species